rnacentral:rRNA from 1 species
UACGUAGGGUGCAAGCGUUGUCCGGGAAUUAUUGGGCGUAAGAGCUCGUAGGCGGUCUGUUGCGUCGGCUGUGAAAACCCGGGGCUCAACUCCGGGCCUGCAGCCGAUACGGCAGACUAGAGUUCGGCAGGGGAGACUGGAAUUCCUGGUGUAGCGGUGAAAUGCGCAGAUAAUCAGGAGGAACACCGGUGGCGAAGGCGGGUCUCUGGGCCGAUACUGACGCUGAGGAGCGAAAGCGUGGGGAGCGAACAGG